rnacentral:rRNA from 1 species
GUUGACGCUGGCGGCAUGCCUAACACAUGCAAGUCGAACGAGUGGCGGACGGGUGAGUAAUGUCUGGGAAACUUCCUGAUGGAGGGGGAUCACUACUGGAAACGGUAGCCAAUACCGCCUACUAUCUUUUUUGCCCAGCUGGGAUUAGCUAGUAGGUGGGGUAAAGGCUCACCUAGGCGACGAUCCCUAGCUGGUCUGAGGGGAUGACCAGCCACACUGGAACGGAGACACGCUCCAGACUCCUACGGGAGGCAGCAGUGGGGAAUAUUGCACAAUGGGCGAAAGCCUGAUGCAGCCAUGCCGCGUGUAUGAAGAAGGCCUUCGGGUUGUAAAGUACGUUCAGCGGGGAGGCGUUACCCGCAGAAGAAGCACCGGCUAACUCCGUGCCAGCAGCCGCGGUAAUAC